rnacentral:rRNA from 1 species
CUUGACAAAUGGAGCUAUUGGCUUUGAAUUGUAUUGUGGAAAUGUAUUACCAACAGAGGUGCAGGUGCCAGCCUAUUGAAAUAAAGCGUCAAUGAGGGUGAGAAUCCUGUUUGUCAUGUGCAGCCCUUUGUGCACGGUGUAUAUUUGCUGAGUCACACUCCUUGGCAUUGGAAUGCAAAGUGGGUGGUAAGUUUCAUGUAAAGGUAAACAUGCAAUUGAGACUGAUAGCACACAAGUACCAUGAGGGAAAUAUGAAAAGGACUUUGAAAAGAGAAUUAAAUGAGUUUGUAUUUGCUGAACACAAAGUAAACAGACUUGAUUUGCUUGGUGGGAGUGUUGCACUUGCUUGACAAGAGCUUUGGGCUGUGGGUGUAAUGAUUCUUUCUUUGCAUGCCAGUUUCUAUUUGUACAUCUGAUUACCUUUGCACAUGAAUGAUAAGUCUCCUGUGGGGGGUGGAUUGCAUGUGCAUGUAAUGAUUUGUGUUUUGAUAAAUGUGUCUGGUGUAUGUGUGUGUUCCUGUGCUUGGGGAUGCUUCCUUCCUUGGACUUACAAGCCCUGACACACACAUGCUGGCAAAAUGCUUCUGCUUGACCCGUCUUGAAACACGGACCAAGGAGUCUAACAGAUGUGCAAAGUUUGAAGGUGGUAUACCUUUGUGUGCAAUGAAAGUGUCAGCUGGGAUAUGUGCACCAGCACCCAAUUAAUUAGCGGACAGAGGUUUGAGUUGGAGCAUAUCUAUUAGGACCCGAAAGAUGGUGAACUAUGCCUGAACAGAAUGAAUUCAGAGGAAACUCUGAUGGAGGUUCGUAUCGAUACUGACGUGCAAAUCGUUCGUCAUAUUUGGGUAUAGGGGCGAAAGACUAAUCGAACCAUCUAGUAGCUGGUUCCCUCCGAAGUUUCCCUCAGGAUAGCUGGAGUUGCUCAGUUUUAUCAGGUAAAGCGAAUGAUU